rnacentral:rRNA from 1 species
GAUGAACGCUGGCGGUGUGCCUAAUACAUGCAAGUCGAGCGAACGGACGAGAAGCUUGCUUCUCUGAUGUUAGCGGCGGACGGGUGAGUAACACGUGGAUAACCUACCUAUAAGACUGGGAUAACUUCGGGAAACCGGAGCUAAUACCGGAUAAUAUUUUGAACCGCAUGGUUCAAAAGUGAAAGACGGUCUUGCUGUCACUUAUAGAUGGAUCCGCGCUGCAUUAGCUAGUUGGUAAGGUAACGGCUUACCAAGGCAACGAUGCAUAGCCGACCUGAGAGGGUGAUCGGCCACACUGGAACUGAGACACGGUCCAGACUCCUACGGGAGGCAGCAGUAGGGAAUCUUCCGCAAUGGGCGAAAGCCUGACGGAGCAACGCCGCGUGAGUGAUGAAGGUCUUCGGAUCGUAAAACUCUGUUAUUAGGGAAGAACAUAUGUGUAAGUAACUGUGCACAUCUUGACGGUACCUAAUCAGAAAGCCCCGGCUAACUACGUG